UGCCAGACUCCUACGGGGGGCAGCAGUGGGGAAUAUUGGACAAUGGGGGGAACCCUGAUCCAGCGACGCCGCGUGAGUGAAGAAGUAUUUCGGUAUGUAAAGCUCUCUCAGCAGGGAAGAAAGAAAUGACGGUACCUGACUAAGAAGCCCCGGCUAACUACGUGCCAGCAGCCGCGGUAAUACGUAGGGGGCAAGCGUUAUCCGGAUUCACUGGGCGUAAAGGGAGCGCAGGCGGCAUGGCAAGUCUGAUGUGAAAACCCGGGGCCCAACCCCGGGAGUGCAUUGGAAACUGCCAGGCUGGAGUGUCGGAGGGGUAAGCGGAAUUCCUAGUGUAGCGGUGAAAUGUGUAGAUAUUAGGAGGAACACCAGUGGCGAAGGCGGCUUACUGGACGACUACUGACGCUGAGGCUCGAAAGCGUGGGGAGCAAACAGGAUUAGAUACCCCCGUAAA
rnacentral:rRNA from 1 species